GACUCCAAAUUCGUGAAGCGUUCCAUAUUUUUAUUGGAACGAUACAGAGAAGAUUAGCAUGGCCCCUGCGCAAGGAUGACACGCAAAUCAUAUUAAUAAAUUUAUUAAUU